GUCGAGCGGUAAGGCCCUUCGGGGUACACGAGCGGCGAACGGGUGAGUAACACGUGAGCAACCUGCCCCUGACUCCGGGAUAAGCGGUGGAAACGCCGUCUAAUACCGGAUACGACCCUUGGCCUCCUGGCCGGGGGUGGAAAGUUUUUCGGUUGGGGAUGGGCUCGCGGCCUAUCAGCUUGUUGGUGGGGUAACGGCCUACCAAGGCGAUUACGGGUAGCCGGCCUGAGAGGGCGACCGGCCACACUGGGACUGAGACACGGCCCAGACUCCUGCGGGAGGCAGCAGUGGGGAAUAUUGCGCAAUGGGCGAAAGCCUGACGCAGCGACGCCGCGUGGGGGAUGACGGCCUUCGGGUUGUAAACCUCUUUUACCACCAACGCAGGCUCGGAGUUUUCUUCGGGUUGACGGUAGGUGGGGAAUAAGGACCGGCUAACUACGUGCCAGCAGCCGCGGUAAUACGUAGGGUCCGAGCGUUGUCCGGAAUUAUUGGGCGUAAAGAGCUCGUAGGCGGCGUGUCGCGUCUGCUGUGAAAGACCGGGGCUUAACUCCGGUUUGGCAGUGGAUACGGGCAUGCUAGAGGUAGGUAGGGGAGACUGGAAUUCCUGGUGUAGCGGUGAAAUGCGCAGAUAUCAGGAGGAACACCGGUGGCGAAGGCGGGUCUCUGGGCCUUACCUGACGCUGAGGAGCGAAAGCAUGGGGAGCGAACAGGAUUAGAUACCCUGGUAGUCCAUGCCGUAAACGUUGGGGCGCUAGGUGUGGGGACUUUCCACGGUUUCCGCGCCGUAGCUAACGCAUUAAGCGCCCCGC
rnacentral:rRNA from 1 species